UGCCCAUCAGAAGGGGAUAACACUUGGAAACAGGUGCUAAUACCGUAUAACAAUCGAAACCGCAUGGUUUUGAUUUGAAAGGCGCUUUCGGGUGUCGCUGAUGGAUGGACCCGCGGUGCAUUACCUAGUUGGUGAGGUAACGGCUCACCAAGGCCACGAUGCAUAGCCGACCUGAGAGGGUGAUCGGCCACAUUGGGACUGAGACACGGCCCAAACUCCUACGGGAGGCAGCAGUAGGGAAUCUUCGGCAAUGGACGAAAGUCUGACCGAGCAACGCCGCGUGAGUGAAGAAGGUUUUCGGAUCGUAAAACUCUGUUGUUAGAGAAGAACAAGGAUGAGAGUAACUGUUCAUCCCUUGACGGUAUCUAACCAGAAAGCCACGGCUAACUACGUGCCAGCAGCCGCGGUAAUACGUAGGUGGCAAGCGUUGUCCGGAUUUAUUGGGCGUAAAGCGAGCGCAGGCGGUUUCUUAAGUCUGAUGUGAAAGCCCCCGGCUCAACCGGGGAGGGUCAUUGGAAACUGGGAGACUUGAGUGCAUAAGAGGAGAGUGGAAUUCCAUGUGUAGCGGUGAAAUGCGUAGAUAUAUGGAGGAACACCAGUGUCGAAGGCUGCUCUCUGGUCUGUAACUGACGCUGACGCUCG
rnacentral:rRNA from 1 species